rnacentral:rRNA from 1 species
CACGUAGGUGACCUACCAUACAGUGGGGGAUAACCAGGAGAAAUUCUGGCUAAUACCGCAUACGAAGCACAAAUUUGAAAGUAGUGCUUGAAAGGAUGCUUCGGCAUUCGCUGAAUGAUGGGCCUGCGUAGCAUUAGUUUGAUGGUGGGGUAACGGCCUACCAUGACUACGAUGCUUAGCUGGUCUGAGAGGAUGAUCAGCCACACUGGAACUGAGACACGGUCCAGACUCCUACGGGAGGCAGCAGUGGGGAAUAUUGCGCAAUGGGGGAAACCCUGACGCAGCAAUGCCGCGUGAGUG